GACCUCCCGGGAAGUCCUCGUG
rnacentral:snRNA from 1 species